rnacentral:rRNA from 1 species
GAUGAACGCUGGCGGCGUGCCUAAUACAUGCAAGUCGAGCGAAUGGAUUAAGAGCUUGCUCUUAUGAAGUUAGCGGCGGACGGGUGAGUAACACGUGGGUAACCUGCCCAUAAGACUGGGAUAACUCCGGGAAACCGGGGCUAAUACCGGAUAAUAUUUUGAACUGCAUGGUUCAAAAUUGAAAGGCGGCUUCGGCUGUCACUUAUGGAUGGACCCGCGUCGCAUUAGCGAGUUGGUGAGGUAACGGCUCACCAAGGCAACGAUGCGUAGCCGACCUGAGAGGGUGAUCGGCCACACUGGGACUGAGACACGGCCCAGACUCCUACAGGAGGCAGCAGUAGGGAAUCUUCCGCAAUGGACGAAAGUCUGACGGAGCAACGCCGCGUGAGUGAUGAAGGCUUUCGGGUCGUAAAACUCUGUUGUUAGGGAAGAACAAGUGCUAGUUGAAUAAGCUGGCACCUUGACGGUACCUAACCAGAAAGCCACGGCUAACUACGUGCCAGCAGCCGCCGUAA